CCUUGGGUGCAAUUUUUUGAUGGACUUGGCAUUCUUUAAACUGAACCUUGACUCAGGUUUUGAUCAUGUGAAUUUAUCCAGAGGUGGAUUGUGAGUGAAGAGAAUGGAUAGUAACAGACAACUAGCAAUCAGCUACAAAUGUUGCUUCAGACUUGAAGUGUAAGAAUUGGAGGGAAAGAAAAUGGCAGAUGGUGCAACUGAUCUGCAGAGAAGCUAAUUAACUUGCCCAAAGUUAUGGAGCUAAGGAAUGGCUUUAGAAAGCAAAAGAAAAAUUUUUUAUUAAGAAAUGAAAAGAAAAAAGACGCAGUAUGGACUCAGACUGAUAAACCAUUUGCAUGAGAGAACUAUACACCAUUUGAAAAAGAGCUUUUUUGCAAGGUGUGGUGGCUAACUC
rnacentral:lncRNA from 10 species